AGCAGCCGCGGUAAUUCCAGCUCCAAUAGCGUAUAUUAAAGUUGUUGCAGUUAAAAAGCUCGUAGUUGAAUUUCGGGAUCAAGGGAUUGGUCAUGCCUCGGUAUGUACUGGUCUUAUUGGUUCUCACCUUCUAAAGAACCAUGAUGUCAUUCAUUUGAUGUUAUGGGGAAUUAGGACUGUUACCUUGAAAAAUUAGAGUGUUUAAAGCAAGCUUACGCUUGAAUACAUUAGCAUGGAAUAAUGAAAUAGGACAUCAGAUUCUAUUUUGUUGGUUUCUAGGAUCGAUGUAAUGAUUAAUAGGGAUAGUUGGGGGCAUUAGUAUUCAAUUGUCAGAGGUGAAAUUCUUGGAUUUAUUGAAGACUAACUACUGCGAAAGCAUUUGCCAAGGAUGUUUUCAUUAAUCAAGAACGAAAGUUAGGGGAUCGAAGACGAUCAGAUACCGUCGUAGUC
rnacentral:rRNA from 1 species